UACAGAGGUCCCAAGCGUUGUUCGGAUUCACUGGGCGUAAAGGGUGCGUAGGCGGCGCGGUAAGUCGGGUGUGAAAUCUCGGAGCUUAACUCCGAAACUGCAUUCGAUACUGCCGUGCUUGAGGACUGGAGAGGAGACUGGAAUUUACGGUGUAGCGGUGAAAUGCGUAGAUAUCGGGAGGAACACCAGUGGCGAAGGCGACUUCCUGGCCUGUUCUUGACGCUGAGGCGCGAAAGCUAGGGGAGCAAACGGG
rnacentral:rRNA from 1 species